rnacentral:rRNA from 1 species
UUGACGGGGACCCGCACAAGCGGCGGAGCAUGCGGAUUAAUUCGAUGCAACGCGAAGAACCUUACCAAGGCUUGACAUAUACGAGAACGGGCCAGAAAUGGUCAACUCUUUGGACACUCGUAAACAGGUGGUGCAUGGUUGUCGUCAGCUCGUGUCGUGAGAUGUUUGGUUAAGUCCCGCAACGAGCGCAACCCUCGUUCUAUGUUGCAGCACGUAAUGGUGGGAACUCAUGGGAUACUGCCGGGGUCAACUCGGAGGAAGGUGGGGAUGACGUCAAAUCAUCAUGCCCCUUAUGUCUGGGCUUCACGCAUGCUACAAUGGCGGUACAAUGGGCUGCAAUACCGUGAGGUGGAGCGAAUCCCAAAAAGCCGGUCCCAGUUCGGAUUGAGGUCUGCAACUCGACCUCAUGAAGUCGGAGUCGCUAGUAAUCGCAGAUCAGCAACGCUGCGGUGAAUACGUUCCCGGGUCUUGUACACACCGCCCGUCAAGUCAUGAAAGUCGGUAACACCUGAAGCGGUGGCCUAACCUCGGGGAGGGAGCUGUCGA